CUCAGAUGACCUGCACCCCUCUACCUGCAGCUUGUGGCUGGUGGGACACACCCUGGAGCAAAAGCCCUGGUGUGCAGAGAAGGCUGGUUUUCCUGCCCUGGAUGGUGGCCAGAAUGAUGGCAGUUAAGGGCAGGAAGAGCGAAACAGACCUGCGCGUGGGUGGACAAGUACUGGAGAGAAAGGUUCUUCUGUUCAUGAGAUUUACUGUAAGGAA